GCUUCACUGGGGAUUUCAAUGUAUCUCACAUCCCAGCCUGGAGUCACUCAUCCUGCUUUGCGGGACACGUGGGGAAGAGGUCAAAAAUGAAAGAUGAGUGAAAACUGUCUUAUUUUUACAAGUCAUCGUGGAGAACGUGUUACAGAGUGCUUCCCUGUGUGUGACACUCGCUUUGUAGCCGUUUGGAAGACAGGAGACACAGCAAUGGGAACAUUUUAUCAUUUACCUGAGGUUUGGGGUUCUCAGCUAGUUUCAGAUUUGAC